AUUAACGCUGGCGGCGUGCAUAACCCAUGCCAGUCGCACGAUGAAACUUUAAUGAACCCUUCGGGGAGAAUUAAAGCGGAUUAGUGGCGAACGGGUGAGUAACGCGUGAGUAACCUGCCUUACACAAGGGGAUAGCCUUUGGAAACGAAGAAUAAUACCCUAUAAAACCAUAAAAGCACAUGCAAUUAUGGUCAAAGUGAUAGCGGUGUAAGAUGGACUUGCGUCUGAUUAGCUAGUUGGUGAGAUAAAAGCCCACCAAGGCAACGAUCAGUAGCCGGCUUGAGAGAGUGUACGGCCACAUUGGGACUGAGACACGGCCCAGACUCCUACGGGAGGCAGCAGUGGGGAAUUUUGCACAAUGGGGGAAACCCUGAUGCAGCGACGCCGCGUGAUUUAGAAGGCCUUCGGGUUGUAAAAAUCUUUUGUAUAGGAAGAAAAUGACAGUACUAUACGAAUAAGGUCCGGCUAAUUACGUG
rnacentral:rRNA from 1 species